rnacentral:tRNA from 1 species
GGGGGCGUGGCGCAACUGGUAGCGCACCUGCUUUGCAAGCAGGGGGUUAGGGGUUCGAGUCCCCUCGCCUCCACC